GACGAACGCUGGCGGCGUGCUUAACACAUGCAAGUCGAGCGGUAAGGCCCUUUCGGGGUACACGAGCGGCGAACGGGUGAGUAACACGUGGGUGACCUGCCCUUAGCUCUGGGAGUAAGCCUGGGAAACGUAGGGUCUAAUACCGGAUAUGACUCCAUGACGCAUGUUGUGGGGUGGAAAGCCUUGUGCGGCUAGGGAUGGGCCCGCGGCCUAUCAGCUUGUUGGUGGGGUGAUGGCCUACCAAGGCGACGACGGGUAGCCGGCCC
rnacentral:rRNA from 1 species